GUCAGAAUGUGAGUAUAGGAAUGUUUUUUAUUUUUGAGACCUGAAAAGAUAGUUGUCAGGUGGCUAAGCAUAGUUCAGCUGAAUGCUUUAUCUUGUGUAACAAUAAGAAUAUCACAUAAAUAUCAAAAUAUUUCCGGAUAUAAGAAUAUUUUAAGGUGAAAACAAUCCCCCAAAAUUAAUUUUAAAGAUUCAAUAUUAAUGACAGAAUGAAAACAAUGAUACUAAUAAUAGAUCUUAAAAAUGCUAACAUUCUGCAUGGCUCUGCACUACAGCCUUGAUUUGAGACACUGAAAAUGGGCUUACCCAUUCAACUGUGUUGAUUAAUAUGUGUUUUUAAAGUUUCAGUAGUCUGAUACCUUUAUCUUAAUUUAUUCUAAAAAUGAGAGUCAGCUCAUCGAGUCUAUGGAGACAUUUCUGGGUAUUAAAGUUUAUGGAUGACUAGCUGUAUGUACAAUAUUGUCAUAUUGCAGCCUUACCACUUAACAGAGUAUCUCUUAUAACUUAAAAAUGAAUCGAUCCUGUUUCCUUAAUGUAAUGGAUGGUGUAAUAACAUUGAAAUUCUCAUAUAUUGUAAUCUGUGUGGUACAUUGAUAUGAAGUAUGGACAAAAUCUUUCUAAGUAUAUUUUAACGUAUUAUGAUUACCGAGACUAGGCAGGCCAGAGCAGUAAUGCUUUUAUCUUUGUUGAGUUUCGUGUUGAUGUAGCCACAGUAAAAAUCUUUUAAACAUACUUGUUUCUGAUAAGUGGUGUACUUAAGUUACUCUUAGGUAUGAAUGUAAAGAUGAGGAGUAGAUGGACUUUGUUAAUGGAUUAAUAAGAAAAGCAACAAAAAAAUGAUCCCUGUAUAUUCAUAUAGGCACCUAUGUGUACAUACAUAAAUUUCAUUUGAUGUUUAUCCUCAACCUUAUGGUUGUUGUGGAUUUGUAUGCAUUAAAAUGCAAGUUUAAGUUGUUUGCUUUGAUGGGAGUGUUUUAGGUGGCUGUAAAGUUGAAUACCGAAUCAACUACAGUUGAGUCUGAAUGUACAACUUUACAUAUGCAUCUUCAGUUACUUCAGUGAGGAGCACAGCUAUGGGCCAAUGGCCCCAGCCACCCUGAGCCAAGCUAAUUGCUCAGGUCUGCCCACGUAUACCAGGUGCAAUUCAUCAAUGAGUGCUGUGGUGCCCAGCUGUGAGGUGCUUGGGCUGGCAGUGCUUCUCCCUCUCUUCCUCUGCAGGGGAAAGAAAGAAGGGACUUUUUCUUUCUCUGAAGUAGAAGUUCAGAUUUUGAUGGUAAGGGAGCUGAUGUGGAGGCCUGGCCUUAAGGAAGGCUUUCAGUAGGCAGUACAGUCUUUGGAGCUGCUGCAGCAAACCUGGUGGUUGUCUACCUUGCAAUUUGAGUAUGAAAGAAGAGUAGCCUGUGGAUUCCACUGUAAGUAAGUGCUAUUCUGUGUUUUGGUGUUGUCAUUUGUGCUCUUAUUACAGCUGUGCUCAUCCAGCGACCCACAAGCUAGGUUUUAUGACACUGUAUUUAUCCUUCAUCUUUCCUUCCUCGCGGCUCUUUUAUGCUCAAGUGAGGUCUGGAUGAAUUGCUGUGGUAAUGGCAGAGUUGAUUCCUCUCAUGUCAUGUGGUAAAUGUGAAUAUGGUUCUGUGUAUGGAGGGGGUUACGGUGCUGGAGAGCUGACAGCAGGGAAACACAGGUAUCUGUGAAAUUCACCUAAUCCAUUGCCAUUUAAACCCUGUGGAUUGUCACAGAAACGAGUUAUUUCCUCUGGUAGUAGCAGCCAGA
ensembl:lncRNA